CCUACGGGAGGCAGCAGUGGGGAAUAUUGCACAAUGGAGGAAACUCUGAUGCAGCAACGCCGCGUGGAGGAUGACACUUUUCGGAGCGUAAACUCCUUUUAUAUAGGAAGAUAAUGACGGUACUAUAUGAAUAAGCACCGGCUAACUCCGUGCCAGCAGCCGCGGUAAUA
rnacentral:rRNA from 2 species